GAUGAACGCUGGCGGCGUGCCUAAUACAUGCAAGUCGAGCGAACAGACGAGGAGCUUGCUCCUCUGACGUUAGCGGCGGACGGGUGAGUAACACGUGGAUAACCUACCUAUAAGACUGGGAUAACUUCGGGAAACCGGAGCUAAUACCGGAUAAUAUAUUGAACCGCAUGGUUCAAUAGUGAAAGACGGUUUUGCUGUCACUUAUAGAUGGAUCCGCGCCGCAUUAGCUAGUUGGUAAGGUAACGGCUUACCAAGGCAACGAUGCGUAGCCGACCUGAGAGGGUGAUCGGCCACAAUGGAACUGAGACACGGUCCAGACACCUAAGGGAGGCAGCAGUAGGGAAUCUUCCGCAAUGGGCGAAAGACUGACGGAGCAACGCCGCGUGAGAGAUGAAGGUCUUCGGAUCGUAAAACUCUGUUAUUAGGGAAGAACAAAUGUGUAAGUAACUAUGCACGUCUUGACGGUACCUAAUCAGAAAGCCACGGCUAACUACGUG
rnacentral:rRNA from 1 species